AGAGUUUGAUCCUGGCUCAGAUUGAACGCUGGCGGCAGGCCUAACACAUGCAAGUCGAGCGGAUGAGAAGAGCUUGCUCUUCGAUUCAGCGGCGGACGGGUGAGUAAUACCUAGGAAUCUGCCUGGUAGUGGGGGACAACGUUUCGAAAGGAACGCUAAUACCGCAUACGUCCUACGGGAGAAAGCAGGGGACCUUCGGGCCUUGCGCUAUCAGAUGAGCCUAGGUCGGAUUAGCUAGUUGGUGAGGUAAUGGCUCACCAAGGCUACGAUCCGUAACUGGUCUGAGAGGAUGAUCAGUCACAUUGGAACUGAGACACGGUCCAGACUCCUACGGGAGGCAGCAGUGGGGAAUAUUGGACAAUGGGCGAAAGCCUGAUCCAGCCAUGCCGCGUGUGUGAAGAAGGUCUUCGGAUUGUAAAGCACUUUAAGUUGGGAGGAAGGGCAUUAACCUAAUACGUUAGUGUUUUGACGUUACCGACAGAAUAAGCACCGGCUAACUCUGUGCCAGCAGCCGCGGUAA
rnacentral:rRNA from 1 species